GUUCACUCAGUAUUUGUCUAAAGACUUUCUUGCAAAGUCGUGGGUACAAAUGUGAUGAAAGACGUUUUCAUUAACAGUCUAUGUCUUUUUUGGCAAGCCGUGGGCACUAAUGUGACGAAGACGAAUUCAAGCACAGUCUUUGUGUAAGAACCUUUUUGAAAGCCGUGGGUACAAAUGUGAUCAAAACAUAUUCAAUCACAGGCGUUGUCAAAAGACUUUCUUGCAAGCCGUGGGUACUAUUAAUGUGAUGAAAACAGUCACUGUCUAAAGACUUGUUUGUAAGCCGUGGGUAUACUUCUCAUGACUUGUGAUCGUUAUUACACGCAACGGGACUUGGGACUAAUGUGAUGAAAAACUCAUUUGCUUCAUAGAGACUUCGUUUGAAGACUUCUCUCAAGCAAUGAAUCCGUUUUCAGUUACCAUCCAACUAGCCUUUGUUUGUCUAGAGGAUCUUUUUAAGUUGUGGUUGCUUGAUCCCACGCAACACAUUCAGUCUUAAGACUUUUUUUUCCGAAGCCGUGGGUAGAAAUGUGAUGAAGAUGUUUUCAAUCACAGUCUUUUAUGUCUGAAGACCUUUCUUGCAAGUCGUGGGUGCAAAUGUGAUGAAUAAUAAAUUUUCAAUCACAUUCUUUUAUAUCUGAAGACCUUUCUUGUAAGCCGCAGAUACUAACGCAAUCUACGUUUACAAUCACAGUCUCUGUCUAAAGACUUGUUUUCCUUUAAGCCGUUGGUACUAAAUUUUGUCACACUUUUCAUCCUCAAACAUCCUUUGCAUCAUAGAGCUGUGGGUAAGCAAAGGAU
rnacentral:lncRNA from 1 species